rnacentral:rRNA from 1 species
CUAAGAAUAUUCCGCAAUGGACGAAAGUCUGACGGAGCGACGCCGCGUGGAUGAAGAAGGCCGAAAGGUUGUAAAAUCCUUUUGUCGGGGAAGAAUAAGCGUGGGAGGGAAUGCCCGCGUGAUGACAUGAACCGGCGAAUAAGCCCCGGCUAACUACGUGCCAGCAGCCGCGGUAACACGUAGGGGGCAAGCGUUGUUCGGAAUUACUGGGCGUAAAGGGCAUGUAGGCGGUUUUGUAAGCCUGGCGUGAAAUUCUGCAGCUUAACUGUAGGACUGCGCUGGGAACUGCGAGACUGGAGUCACGGAGAGGGAGCCAGAAUUCCAGGUGUAGGGGUGAAAUCUGUAGAUAUCUGGAAGAAUACCAAUGGCGAAGGCAGGCUUCUGGCCGAUGACUGACGCU